rnacentral:tRNA from 1 species
GAGCCUGUAGCCUAGCCUGGAAUCUCUGGGCAGAUAGGGCGACAGCCUCCUAAGCUGUAGACCGGGGGUUCGAAUCCCCCCAGGCUCG